UACGGAGGGUGCAAGCGUUAAUCGGAAUUACUGGGCGUAAAGCGCGCGUAGGUGGUUUGAUAAGCCGGAUGUGAAAGCCCCGGGCUCAACCUGGGAACUGCAUCCGAAACUGGCAAGCUAGAGUACAGUAGAGGGUGGUAGAAUUUCCUGUGUAGCGGUGAAAUGCGUAGAGAUAGGAAGGAACACCAGUGGCGAAGGCGACCUCCUGGACUGAUACUGACACUGAGGUGCGAAAGCGUGGGGAGCAAACAGG
rnacentral:misc_RNA from 1 species